CGAAAAAUUUUCCCUAAAUACCGUAAAAUUAGAUUUUCCUUUGUUUGUUGUCUAAUUUGGAAAAUUUUCAUCUGGUGAAAUUUUACAAGAAGCUACCAUUUUUAGGAAAAUCGGAUGGAAAAUUUACCGUAGAAUUUGUCGAUAAAAUGACUUGGAAAACCUAUCGGGUUUGAGACUCAUUCGUCAUCUCCUUCUUCCCUCUUCCCUGAUCACCUUCUCUCCUUCUCAUCUCAGAGUCGAUCUGAUCUCUUCUCCUUUUUCAUCUCAGAGCCGAUCUCCUUCUCAUCGUAGAGUGGAGAAAAUCUCGGUUGGGAUUGCAAGCGACGUUGGUGCGACUGUUGAGUUUCUCAUUUUCUCCAUUCUGCAAUCGGUCUUCGCAGCGUAUGAGUGAAAGUUCCAGAGUUCCAAUUUCAAACUUUGAUUUCAUUCACUGGGUGUCGUCAAGUCUGAGAGGUAGCAGAGAUAAGCUUGAUAUUCUCGAUCUGCAACAAAAUCUAUUGGAUUUGCUACAAAAUCUGCUUGAUCUAAAAGAGAUCGAGGUUUCAAUACAUAUCUCUUAGUUGGAAGGUCCGUCUCUCUCUCUCUCUCUCUCAGAGUUUGAUCCUCACUGGAUGGAUAAUGAUCAAGAGAGGGAGGUUUUUAAGAGUAAAUGAAAGAAACCUGCAAGGAAGAAAGGUCAACAGUUAUGUUGGACAGAGACAAUGGACAAUGCUCUCAUUGAUCUCCUUGUUGAAGAAACAGCGAAAGAGAAUAAAUGUGACAAGACUUUCACAGACCCAACAUUCAUCUUUGUUUAUCGUUUAAUCUAAUGUUAUUUAUUUUUAGCAGAUAUUUACAUUUUCUCGUUUCGUAUAUGUACUCUAUACUAUCUGUCCUUAGUAUGGGUUACAUUGAAUUAGUUAGCA